GUUUAUGAUGACUCUGUGAUCUUGUGUUGCAGCUCACCCAACAACUGAAAGUGCUGUUUCUACUAAAUUUCCUUCUAGCACAUUAACAUCUAACCAGAAAGCUUCAAAUUCAACCCCCAAAACAGCUACAGAUGUCGGAGGUAUUGUUGGUGGUAUAGUCGGUGUUAUAUUAGUUAUUGCUAUUGUCUGUGGUGUCAUAUUCUUUAUUAAAAGGCGAAAAGCAAAUAAAAAAACAUCAAAGGAUAUUGCUGUCAAUCAAAAUGGUUCUAAUCGACGAUAUCAAACUGACACGACACUCCCUCGAACAUCCCCCGUUUAUUAUGAACUAGAGAAAACCACGACUCCGGUUUAUUAUGAACUGGAGAAGGACACCUAUAACAGUAGACCAACUAGUGUUAAACCGAGCUCUGGCGAUAAUUAUGAUUAUAUAGGGGGAGAUAAUCAUGUUAAACAUUCGACCGGAAAUGACAAUUACAACCAUAUUGGAAUCAGCGGUGUUACGUCAGACGAUGAAUAUCAUCAUCUGAAGGGACCUAACUCUAACAAGCCAAGUGUUCCAGAUAGUAAUUAUGAUCAUAUUGGUUCAUUUAGUGUAGCUGAGGAUAAUUACCAACAUAUCGGAGACAACAAAUCUCGGAUUAUUACUGAAGAUACGUAUAAUCACAUUGGUGGACACGAUAACACUGGUCUGGACGGUGAUGACUACCAGCAUAUCGGUGGUAGCUAUAAACAUCAAGUUGUAACGGACGGUACAUACAAUCAUAUUGGAAGUGAUCAUAAGGAAAUACUGGGUAAUGAUAACUACCAUCAUAUCGGAAACAGAAAUACACAACCAAUUCUAACAGAUGGGGAAUAUUCUCAUAUUGGAGGUGCUGACGCGUAAGGAGAAUAUUAUUCGUUGACUAAAAUAUAUUUAAUAUCCAGGAUGUUAAUGACAGUUGUAUUUGUGUUCACUAAACGAUUAUAUUAUUCCACAUUAUGUAGCCUUAUAAACACAUGGAUAAUACACAAUGUUCACUGUUCACAGUGUAAACCUCGAAUAUAUAAUGUGGAAUAACAUAUUGGAGUAUAAAUCUAACAUCAGUGACCUUUCAUUUGGGAUAAUGUUAGAUUGUAAUUACGUGUUCUUCGUAGAGCUCAUAAAGUAAAUCUUCUUAACUGGGCCAUUCGAUACAGAGCAGUAGGACGUUAAACACAAUUUCAACCAUCCAAGUAACUUAGCAACAACCAAUAGUAAUAUGUUCUAGAAUUGGUUCGAGAAUUAUACCCUGUCUUGUAAGCGACAGCGGUUGAUUCGUGAAGUAUAUGUUUAGAAAAUAUAUUUCCUACUUUAAAUAGGACAAAAUAUUCUACUUACCCAUAUUGAUAAAUAAAAGUUGAAAUUGCUAUGUGCUAUAAGCUACAAUGUGAUAUCGUGUUAGUAAUUAGUAAAUACAUGUUUAUAUAUUAAACAUAUUUUAUUUUCCCAAUUAUAAACCUUAAACCCUAAAUAACUUUAUAAUGACCUGUUUAUAAACAGUAAAUAUUGUGAUAAAGUGUUCUAUAACUUCCAUGAAAUCGAAUGAUCAUUUGGGUGCAUAUAACUUAUUGACACCAGCUGGUUUUGAUAAUAGAUGAUAUCGACUGUUCAAACUAUACACUUUGUACGCAUUAAUUCAAGACUAUCAAUUUCAAAUGUAGAUAUUCAUAUCAGUCAGUGAAUUUAAGAUAACUCGUAAAUGCCAUAUAUAGUUAUGAUCUCGUGUGUUUAGACCCAGUUGAAAGGUAUAUAACCACCAGUUUUCUGGUACACAAAAAACGCAGCCGCGAGACAAGCGGGGGGGGGGGGAGCAGAGAGCGGCGAAUGGUCUCACUAUAUUAAUGUACCGUUUUGGUGUUUAAUUUAUGUUUUUGGUGUAGUUUAGUUUCUGUUGUAAUUAUGUAGCUAUUUUAUAUAUGGUUCCUGAUGUGUAUAAGAUGUAUAUUUACCAAAUUGAUCUCUGUUAUCACUAAAAUGGUGUUACAAUAAUGUGUUCCUUUUAUAAUUAAGCUGUUUAUACAUUGUAGACAAUGUUUAUUUAUAAUUGAGCUGUUUAUAGACUCUCGAAAUUUUAUAUUUAAGCUGUUUAUAAACUCUUUAUAUGCUAUCUUUUUAAAGAGUUGUUUAUAUGUUGAUCAAGACUCUGAUUUAUUUAAUUUAAAUAUAUGUAUAGUUAAACUGUUUAUAAAACCUAAACAUGCUUAUAACCAAACUGUUGUUAAAAUGCAGUUUAGUAAUACAUUAAUUAUAAAUCAAACAGUAACCAUUGUUAAAAUCAUUCUUUGUUUUCCUUGUUUAUUUUGUUCUGCUAUUCUGUAUAUAAAUGUCUGUAUCUCUACACUGGGAAUCACUGCUUGAUGAAGAUCAGCCAACCCUAGUUGAGACGUCGCUGUAUUUAAAAGUUAACUGUUAUCUCGUUUAUUUAUUUUAUUUAUUUUUAAUGAAGCUGUUUAUAAACGCUAAAUAUGUUGUAUUUAUAAUGAA